rnacentral:rRNA from 1 species
UUCUGAAAACGUGCCUGAAAACGCCCGAUGUCAUCUGAUCUUGGAAGCUAAGCAGGGUCGGGCCCACUUAGUACUUGGAUGGGAGACUGCCUGGGAAUCCUGGGUGCUGUAGCAC